AUGUUCAAUAAAGAAAGUACGUCCCCUUACAAAUACCAUUUGAAUUACCAAACAAGGAAGUGCGUCUCCUAACAAAUGUCUCUUGAAUUACCAAAAAGAGGAAGUGCGUCACCUUACCAAUGCCGCUUGAAUUACCCAAACAAGGAAAUGUGUCUCCUUACAAUUGUCGCUUGAAUUACACAAACAAGGAAAUGUGUCUCCUUACAAAUGUCACUUGAAUUAACUAAACAAGAAAGUGUGUCUCCUUAUAAAUGUCGCUUGAAUUACCCAAACAAGGAAGUGCAUCUCCUUACAAAUAUUGCUUGGAUUACCCAAACAAGAAAGUGCAUCUCCUUACAAAUGUUGCUUGAAUUGCCCAAACAAGGAAGUUUGUUUCCUUACCAAUGUUGCUUGAAUUAACCAAACAAGAAAGUGCGUCUCCUUACAAAUAUUACUUGAAUUAUCCAGACAAGAAAGUGUGUCUCCUCACAAAUAUCACUUGAAUUAUCUAAACAAGGAAGCGCAUCUCCUUACAAAUGUCUCUUGAGUUAUCCAAACAAGGAAGUGUGUCUCCUAGAGAUAUUGGAUGAUGAGUUUUACCAUGGUUUUGAUUACCAAGCCUGUGCACAAUAUUGUCUCCUGCAUUUGUGGAAGUGAGACAUUGCAACUUUUCAUGUUUAGGCUUUGAAAUCCUUGAUUCGAAGGUAAUAUGUAUUCCUGUUUCAUACAAAGAAAACUUGUUAGUUUAAAAACAUGGUGGCUGAUUUGUGGCUUUGGCUUUUGUGGCAAUCGCUCUUACCCUUGUCACAUUAAUCUUGCUGUCAACCAUUAGCAUAUGUCAUUGACUCACUCCAUCAUUGAUUCGAACUUGGAUUAUCAAGAGUGACUCUGAAACAAACACAGUAUUUUUGCUUUGCCAUGCUUCUCAGAUAAACUCUUUGAGCCUUAAUAUUUCCAUAAGUUCCUAGACUUAUUUAUUGACAAAACUUUCAGCAUGCCUUAUUUCAGCUUACAAUCAUGUCUCUUUCAUGUGUUGGCCUUUUGUCUUGCUUUGUGUAAUUGAAGAAGCUGGUAGCCAGUUUUGAAAUCUUUUCUCACUUGUUUUGAUAUAGAGUUGACUCAAAGACAAGAGAAAAAUGACAAUGACUUUUAUUUGGAUAAUUGACUCGAGAAAACAAAAUAAAAAUAAAGAGAAGAAAGAAAAGACAAUGAAUGUCCCCAUUUGAAAUAAAGAAAUGAAAAAACUAUCUAGAAAUAACAAUCAACUCUAAUGAUUAUACCAUGUAUAUUGGAUCAAGCUUCCCGAUCUUUCCAUCCAAACUUUCUACCAAUUGUUCUUGAGUUAAUGGCUCUGAAACUAAGUUACUUGCUUGGACCCAUUGCAUUCUAAGAGCUCAUUCGGCUAGUGGCACAUUGAAGGAUUUUUGCCAACAAGUCUCUCAUUUUUCUCUCAACUCACCAUCGCCUUAUGAUGCCCAUGGUGCCCAUGGGUUUUCACCAAUAAAACUCUCUCAUUUUUAUCUCUCUCAACUUAUCAUUGCCUUAUGGUGCCCGUGAGGGUUUUCACCAAUAAAAUUCUCAUUUUUAUUUCUCUCCUAAUUUCUUAUGCAAAGAAAGACGAGUAGUUCCCAAAAUGUGUCAUCAUAUCCAUUGCAUGCUUAGUCUUAACAUUCUCAAAGAUUGAUCUGAAGGUCUUUCUUUGGUUGUAACUAAUUUUUUGGAGAGGGUUAGAAAGAAAGGAUGGCAUGGGGCCCAAAUAACACUUGAAGUGGGGUGACACUUACAAUUUUUGGAAUCGACUCAAACAAUGAGGAUACCUCAUGCCCCAGUUUAUUUUGACUAGGUGACUAUAAAUUGUUUAUUUGGUUGGACCGAGCCUCGGGUAGAGGAGCCUACGUAUCUCACCCCCGAGAGAAGAGAAUCAGGUCAUGCGUAGUUCUGACAGCUUGUUCUUUUACUUGAUUCUGAUUAUUUUUCCUUUUAUUGACUUUUUCUCUUUGGAACUUUUCUGACUCUAUUUUUCUGAAUAGAUUUUUACGAGACCUGCGAAGAGGAUAAUUUGUAAAAAAAAAAAAAAAACCAUACUUUUAGUUGACUUUCAUUCUAUAUAUUUCCAACAGUGAUUCGAAUCCAUAUUCUCUACUAAUUCUAGGUAGACACAAGCAACCACAUAUCGUAAUAUACAAGAUGAGUAACGAGUGAUGCGAGACGAGAUGAUUUGUAUAUUCCUAAAACUCAAUCUGUAAAUAAUAUAAAGAGAGUAGAUGAAACAAAUAUGCACCUAAAAGGGCGAUGUACAGUUGUGUGACUCCUCUAACUCAUAUGUAUUUGGUAAAAUAUAAAACAGGGGAGGAUAAACUCGUCACACUAAACAUCCAUAUAUUGAACAGUCGACAAUUUAAAACAAGGCCCCAUAUUCAGGAAUCGUAUUCGCAGAGAACAAGAAACAACACCAACAUAUACUUAAAAGCCAAAUAAGUUACAUAUUAACAUAGCCAAAAUAUAUGUAAGAGAAAAGGGAUGAAGGCCGAGUGAUGACCUUGUUUUGAGCAGCAAACUUGAGGCUUCAACGUCAAGUUUCCGGCUUGAGCUCGACUUUGGAACUCAAUCUCGGAAUCAAGAAAAUACCAAAGAUUUUUUAAAAAAUUGAAUGUGUGCUCUCCCCUCUCCGAAUUUGAAAUCUUAAUUUUCUCUCUUAUCCCCCGAAACCGUGAACCCCGUUUUGAACCUUUCUCAACGAAGUCCCUUUAUUUCGGAUUUCCCCCAAUUUUCUAAAUCUCCCUCUUCUAUUUUUGAACAUCCAAAAAACCCCCAAUCCAUUCACCCUCCAAUCAAAAACCUCCCCACCUCAAGAGUGAAAAAUGUAACUAUUUAUCGGCAAAUCCGGACUUGAAAGUCCGGAUUUGAAACCAAAAAUUUGCAGGGGCCAACGGGCAAAUCGAAGGGGAGGAAAUCAAAAUUUAAAAAUUGAAAGGGACCUCACAUACUCGAAAUUUCAAACGUUUCUCAUGCCUUAAUGGUGGAUUUCAAAAGACACCUCUAUUACUGCACCAAUUUGGGACUGUUUCUCUCUGAUUUCAGAGAUUCGUGGGUUGGACUUGGCCGAGAAGGGGAGAAUCUUGGUAGGCUAGCGGCAGGGGCGCGACAGCUAUUGCUGCUAGCCCCUCCGAUUUGGGUGAGAGAGAGGAAAUGGGAAGAGAAAGGAAAAAAGUCGUUUGAUUUUGUUUUGUUUUGGGAAGAGUUAUGCUGAUGGAACGUUGCUCCUUGGGAAAGGAAAAGCGUGUAUUUGCCUAGGGGAGAGGAAGACAGUUGUUUGUAUUGGUUCCUUGAUUAAUUUUGAUCCAUGAAUAAAUAUUCUAAAAAUAAUAGUAAAGUAUAUAUAAGCUGAUUUAAAAUUGAUUAUUUUGUUUUUAUGUUUUAGGUUUAUCAUUAAAAGUUUGUAUUAGAAGAGUCAAAGAUAGUAGAACAAAAAUAUUCUGGUCGAAAAAGAAUAGAUCAAUUUUCUUAUUUAUUUUCCUCCAAAUAAGAUGGUCUUUGUUUCAAUGACAAUACUUGUCAAAUUUGUCUUUCGGAGUUUUAAAAAAAAUGUGUUUGUACUCCCAUG
rnacentral:lncRNA from 1 species